rnacentral:rRNA from 1 species
AGCGCAGACGGCGAAGCAAGUCUGAAGUGAAAUGCAUGGGCUCAACCCAUGAAUUGCUUUGGAAACUGUUUGGCUUGAGUGUCGGAGGGGUAAGCGGAAUUCCUAGUGUAGCGGUGAAAUGCGUAGAUAUUAGGAGGAACACCGGAGGCGAAGGCGGCUUACUGGACGACAACUGACGUUGAGGCUCGAAGGCGUAGGGAGCAAACA